rnacentral:lncRNA from 1 species
CUGAGGUUCUUCAAGCUGUCUUGGGUCCCAGUGGUUCUCCUCACAGCCAGGGUCAACCUCCUCUGUCCCUUGCCAGUCCCCCUUACCAUCUACUUCCUAGCAUCCAGAAUUUGGUUGCUUCCUCUUGUUGGGUGUUACGGACUCGCAUGUCAUCUUUGUCCUGGUAGAUGAGCAUUUCCAAACAUCUGGAUGUGUCAUUUUCUUGGAGUUCCAGAGGAGAGUGCACAUAGAUAAAUGUGUGCAAUCUGCCACUUGGAACCAACAGCCUUUAGCCUGAGCCCUUGACUGGGGAUCCCUCAGCCCCAGGAUGGUGUCACAGUCCUCUCUCCCCGUACUUUCCUUCCUGGCUCUGGUAGCCCCUGGGGAACCCUCAGCACACAGGACUUUUUCUUCCCUCUGAGACCAGGCAUAGUUCUGCCCAGCUCCUGCCCAUCCUGCUUCUCAAGGGCAGGGCCUUGAUGGGACUGGGCAGGCCUCAGUCCGGUGGGUCUAAGUCCAUGGCCUGGCUCACUCCUCAGAUGUCAGUUUGGGCUUUAGUGAGUUCAAAUUCAAAGCUGGACAUGACAGUAAUUUCUCAAUUAGAAUAACAGAGUUAAUCUCCCUGCAAAUGUAUAUUCC